UUGGAGGGCAAGUCUGGUGCCAGCAGCCGCGGUAAUUCCAGCUCCAAUAGCGUAUAUUAAAGUUGUUGCAGUUAAAAAGCUCGUAGUUGAAUUUCGGGACCAAGAUGUCGGUCGUGCCUCAGUACGUACUGGCAUCGUUGGUUUCUCCCUUCUGACGAACCAUGAUGUCAUUUAUUUGGUGUCGUGGGGAAUCGGGACUGUUACUUUGAAAAAAUUAGAGUGUUCAAAGCAGGCGUUAUAUGCUCGAAUACAUUAGCAUGGAAUAAUGGAAUAGGACGAUGGUUCUAUUUUGUUGGUUCUAGGACCGUUGUAAUGAUUAAUAGGGAUAGUUGGGGGCAUUAGUAUUCAAUUGUCAGAGGUGAAAUUCUUGGAUUUAUUGAAGACUAACUACUGCGAAAGCAUUUGCCAAGGAUGUUUUCAUUAAUCAAGAACGAAAGUUAGGGGAUCGAAGACGAUCAGAUACCGUCGUAGUCUUAACCAUAAACUAUGCCGACUAGGGAUCGGAUGAUGUUAAUUUUUUAAUGACUCAUUCGGCGCCUUACGGGAAAC
rnacentral:rRNA from 1 species